rnacentral:rRNA from 1 species
AGGGUUUGAUUCUGGCUCAGGAUGAACGCUAGCUACAGGCUUAACACAUGCAAGUCGAGGGGAAACGACAUUGGAAGCUUGCUUCCGGUGGGCGUCGACCGGCGCACGGGUGAGUAACGCGUAUCCAACCUGCCCACCACUUGGGAAUAACCUUGCGAAAGUAAGACUAAUGCCCAAUGAGAUUGAGUGCAGACAUCUAAUCUCAAUUAAAGAUUCAUCGGUGAUGGAUGGGGAUGCGUCCGAUUAGCUUGUUGGCGGGGUAACGGCCCACCAAGGCAACGAUCGGUAGGGGUUCUGAGAGGAAGGUCCCCCACAUUGGAACUGAGACACGGUCCAA